CCGCCCACAACCUCCGUCUCCCGCUGACGGCGCAUGCGCGAGGCGGCGCCGGGCGGGGACGCGCACGCCGUAGGGGGCGUGACCGGGCCCAGAAGGUGUGGCCACGCUUCAGGCCCGCCCACCCACGCGGGCGCUCGCCAAAUAGGCUGAGGCUCUGCAGGUGGCGCGGCCGCUUCCAGUGCCUUACAUGUGCUAAAGUAAGAGCUAAACUACAGGUACCUCCUUUGCCCUAAACAGUAAGACAAACAACCCAAUAAAUCAGUAAGCAAAAGGCUUUGCUUCCUCCUCCUGACUGGAAAAAUGACUGAUUCCUGAGCCUCACACCAGACUUGUCAUAGCAUGGCCUGUGUCCUGCCUUUCCUUAAUCCAGCCAAAGAAAUCUCACAGAAAGGCUAAAAUUGUUUCCUUGUGAGCCCAUCUCCAUCCUUAGACCAGUCUACUGUGGCCACCAGCAUGGGUUACUGUGACCUCCCAGAACAGAGUUGACCUCCAGAAGGGAGCGGGUUCUCAAAAGAAGAAUAGACAUUAAGUAGGACAGAUGUUGUUACAGAUACCAUGAGAGUGAGAUAGAUAAGAGAUGAAGGGACUGUUCAUGGGUGAACCUGUCCCAGUGGACCAAGCCAUCCAGAGUCUGCCUACAUCUCGGUGCCAGUCCCGCCUCCACCCACUGGAAGAGGAGAGCUAUCAGAGUAUUGGACCUGCUUGCACCCACCAGGACAUGGAGAGACCCCACCAGCACCAACUGGAAGAAGGGAUGGGAAGACGACAAUAUAAGAACACAUUCAACAACAGAAAGACUAAUAUGAUGCCACCAGAGUCCAGAGACUCAACACCAACAAGACCUGAGCAUCCCAACACAGAUGAAGCAGAAGAGAAUUACCUUAAAAACAACUUUAUGGAGAUGAUAGAGAUCCUUAAAGAGUAAAUGAGAAAAUCCCUUGAAGAAAUGGAAGAAAAAACAAAAACAUUCAAGAAACUGAGGAAAAGACAACCCCCCCAAAUGCAAGAAAUAAACAAAUCUCUUAAAGAAAACAAGGAGAACCAAGAAAAAACAACCAAACAAGUGAAGGAAAUAAUUCAAACAGUUCAAGGCUUAGAAGCUUGAAUAGAGACAAUUAAAAAAAGAAACAAACCACAGAUUGAGGGUAUGCUGGAAAUAGAAAAGCUGGGUAAACGAUCAGGAACUGCAGAUGCAAGCAUAGCCAACAGAAUACAAGAUAUAGAAGAGAGAAUCUCAGGCAUUGAAGAUACACUAAGAAAAAUAGAUUCAUACACCAAAGAAAAUCUUAAGUGUUACAAUGUUCCUGCCCAGUUCUGCAGCUGCCUCAGAGCCCCCAAAUAACACACGAGACACUAUAUUAAUUAUAAUGCUGUUGGCCAGAAGCAUAGAAAAAAAUAGAAGCAAUAGAAGUCUAGGGCUUCUCAGUGGCUUUGUUGGAGGAGAUGUGUCACUAGGUAGUGGGCUUUGAGGUCUCAGAAACUCAGCCACUGUGUCAUUGUCAUCUCCUGCUGCCUGUGGAUACAGAUUUAGGACUCUCACCUCCUUCUCCAGCACCAUAUCUGCCUGAGUGCCACCAUGCUUCCCAUCAUGACAGCAAUGGACUGAACCCAUGAAACUGCAAGCCAGUCCCAAUUUAAUGUUUUCCUUCAUAAAAGUGGUCAGGGUGUCUAUUCGCAGCAAUAGAAUCCCCAAUUAAGACAAUUACUAAUGGUAACACUAAUGCUAGUCUUAACCCUAACACCAAACCUAACCCUAAUUGUAAACUUAACACUAGCUCCAAUCCUCACCAUAAUAUUAGGUUGUAACCCUAAGUAUAAUGCCUAUCUGUAAUACUUGCUUAAUCUGUAACCCUAAAGCUAAUAUGAAGAGUACUGCAGUAACCUGACCCUAACCCUAAUCUCAACCCUAACCCAAGCAGCACUCUAAUACUAGCCCUAGCCCCAAGCCUAGUCUUAAUGCUAUCCCUAACAAUGACAGUGUAAUCAUCACACUAAUGCUAAUGUAACCAUAGCCUUUACUCUAGCUUUAGUAGCUCACUGCAGAUGAUGCUAGGGAGACACCUUAAUCCUAACUUUAAUAGUAACCCUAACCCUCACCCUCUUUUCCACUUCCUACUUCAGAGUAGCUUUAUUGGGAUAUAAUUUACAUAAUAAAGUUACUCCCUUUACAAUACAAUUUUCAAGAAUCUUUAACAUAUUCAGAGUUUAACACCAUCACCACAGUCUAUCAUUUUUCA
rnacentral:lncRNA from 1 species